CUUCUCAGCAUCUCAGCCUUGUUGUAAAGCAUAUGCUUGCCUGCACACCAACGCCUGCUCUCUCUUCACCUCCUGGAAAACACACCUGGGGGCUAAACGUGGGGUGCCGGGAAGGAGCCACGGCACAGCAGUAGCUGUCAUUUUGGCAGUCGGUGAAAAGUUUUUGUACCAAGCCUGGCAGCAGCAGAAGGAGAAGUUCCAGUGGACUCCAGCCUGAAGAUACUUCUGGAGCCAAUGUCUGGCAUUGCUCUAGAAGUACAAAAGUCCUUUAGAUCCUCCCCGGGUGGUGUUGUCUAUUUGGACUGAGAGCCUGCCUUACAGCCAUGCUGCUCCCGUGACAUCCAGCCCCAGAUACCCAGCUGAAAGCAGCAGUUACUGACGAACAAAGUACAACAGGGGACUGCUGAUGGUGAAAGGAGAAGCAGAUCUGCCCUCUUGUGUACACGACAUCUACUGCAAAUUUUUAAAAAUUAAUAUGAAGUUAAUUUAUUCCUUGUAGUAAAAAAUACGGAAAAGACACUAAUGCUUUGAGUGCUUUAACCUCACCAUAAAAAGAAGAAUAAGAAAAUAAAGGAUGAAGGAUUGGGUUAUUUCUUCUCA
rnacentral:lncRNA from 1 species